AUCACAUCUACAGUGUUUCUCAGACACUGGACCCACGUGUAUCAUUUGCAUGAGAUAUCUUAAUAUAAGUAUUUCACAGCAUAUUUCCUCCUCACAGCUGUACUUCUGAAGUAGCACCCACACCUUCUGUUCUUGAAAAAUUACACUUUCUCCCCAAGAGCUGAAUUCUGCAAAUAGGAAAAUUCUACCCACUCCCUCCCUCUCCUCAGUUUUCAGGCAGAAUCCAAAGCCUGACUAUACUGAUAAAAAUCCAUUCAUUGACUCUUGGGGCUUCUAACUGUACAACAUCUUAUCCAGUCCCUGGUCAAUAUGUUACUGUGCUCCUCACACAGGGGACCUGCCAGAUUAGAUAUUCAGGAUUCAUGGCACUCAAAAAUAACCUGAUGGGUAAAUCAGGAGGCAGACCCCAUAUUCAUUCCAGUUAAAAUCCUGCUCAAUUUUGCAUACACUUCUACUCACAGAAAUUAUGCCGUAGUGAACUCUACGACAAAAAUCUUAAAUCUUUCCUUCAAGAGUUAAUGUGCUGGAAGAACUGGUGUGAAGACAGGAGCAAGCAGAAGCAGAGUCUGUCCCUGUUAUCUAAAAUCAGGGAAGGAAUUGAGCUGAAGAGAAAACCAGGAAAGGUUGAGAUGAACCUCCAAGACCGUUUCAAGCCUGCUGAGCACCCAGCAAUGGACAAAGCCUCAGUGGAGUACACAGAGCUCUGCUAAAUAUUUCUUCUCUUUCCUGCAGAAUGGCCUGCUUGGUAUGAAAUAUAACAGGCUGAAGGCCACGAGACCACUUUGCCACUUUAGAAUAUAAUUAGUUUAUCAUCACUCAGCAAAGCCAGCUGCUUCCAUACAAACCACUGCCACUCCCCCAAACCCCCACACACCCCAAUUUGCCCAGGAGGACCAAACUGUGCCAACAUUUCUGAAAUCAUUGUCAGGCACUAGAAGCUCACACCCUGUGUGUCAUCCAAGGCCUGUCUCUCCAUCAGUAUAAUAAAUACCUCAUGGGAAGUGUUCUGCUGCUCA
rnacentral:lncRNA from 1 species